rnacentral:rRNA from 1 species
UACGAAGGGGGCUAGCGUUGUUCGGAGUUACUGGGCGUAAAGGGCGUGCAGGCGGUUUGUUAAGUCUAGGGUGAAAGCUCCCGGCUCAACUGGGAGAGGUCCUUGGAUACUGGCAGACUUGAGGAGGGUAGAGGAGAGUGGAAUUCCCGGUGUAGUGGUGAUAUGCGUAGAUAUCGGGAGGAACACCGGUGGCGAAGGCGGCGUCCUGGACCAACACUGACACUGAUGAGCGAAAGCCAGGGGAGCAAACGGG